UCACACAGCGUCGACUUCUUACGGUUAUCAUCUAUUCUCAAAUCUCAUUCUACGUUCCCACAGAAAAUACACACCAUUGGAAUUGCAAUAGGCUUUACUGCCGACGGAAAUAGUCAAUACAUUUGCAUUUUCAAGUCAAAGCCUAAUGGAGCAAGUGCGUAUAUAGUUGGGUGUCCCUCUUGUUUUGAUUCAGUCAGUUAUAAGGAAGCAAAAGCUAUCUGGGAAGGCUUAAUUAAAAAAUUACUGCUGAAGAUGCUACAAAAUAAAAUUUUGUAGUAGAAAUUUUUUAUCAAUGACAUAUAAGAGAUGAUAAAGAGAUGAACGUGCAAAUCAACGAAUAUCAAAAAUUGCUAGAAGACUUGAAGGCCGAGGGGAUGUCAUUACCAGAUAAGUUUGCUGCUGGAGUGCUGAUUGAGAAGCUGCCUGACUCAUGGAGUGACUGCAAAAACAACUUAAAGCACAAACAGAAAAAUUUCACCAUUGAGGAAAUUGUGACCCACAUUUUAAUUGAAGAUUCCAACAGAAAAAUCCGCCAAAGCUAGGAUGACAGCUCUUAAAGUAAAUUUAGUGCAAAGCAGCAACAACAACCGCAAAAGGUACGAGAAUAAGUCUCAAGGUUACAACCCUAAAAAUCCUAACCUUAAAAGAAAAAAAAAGCUCUUGUUUUGUUUUUGAAAAACCAGGCCAUCAUGCCUCACAGUGCAGGUGCAGAGCAGGAAAUAACAAAGGAAAAACUAAUACUCCUAAGGCUAACUUAGUUGAAGGAGGUGAUAUUAUUGCUGCUGUCAUUUCUCAAGUAAACAUUGUAGCACAUGCAAAAGAAUGGGUGGUAGAUUCUGGGGCUACUCGGCACAUUUGUGCAAAUCGAGAAGCAUUUUACUCUUACACUCCUGUAGAGGAUGAUAGAGAAGAGGUCUACCUUGGAGACUCAAGUACUACCAAAGUCUUGGGUAAGAGUAAAGUUCUCCUGAAACUCACUUCGA